rnacentral:rRNA from 1 species
AGCAGCCGCGGUAAUUCCAGCUCCAAUAGCGUAUAUUAAAGUUGUUGCAGUUAAAAAGCUCGUAGUUGAAUUUCGAGAUCAAUAUGUCGGUCGUGCCUUGGUACGUACUGGUAUCAUUGGUCUCUCCUUUCUGACGAACCAUGAUGUCAUUAAUUUGGUGUUAUGGGAAGUUAGGACUGUUACUUUGAAAAAUUAGAGUGUUUAAAGCAAGCAUACGCUUGAAUACAUUAGCAUGGAAUAAUGAAAUAGGACGUUUGAUUCUAUUUUGUUGGUUUCUAGGAUCGACGUAAUGAUUAAUAGGGAUAGUUGGGGGCAUUAGUAUUCAAUUGUCAGAGGUGAAAUUCUUGGAUUUAUUGAAGACUAACUACUGCGAAAGCAUUUGCCAAGGAUGUUCUCAUUAAUCAAGAACGAAAGUUAGGGGAUCGAAGACGAUCAGAUACCGUCGUAGUCUUAACCAUAAACUAUGCCGACUAGGGAUCGGAUGAUGUUAUUUUAAUGACUCAUUC